ACAUGGUUAGCAGAUAAGUUUAGUUUACUCUGGCCAGGUCGGGAUGACUGGCAGUAUUGUUCUUUUCAACUAAUAUUGCACUCGUCCCGGCCUAUCAAGAGUGACUCUUGCAACUUUUACAAGAAUAUUUUCAGCUCAAUAGGCCCCUCCCCAUAGCUACCAACUCUACUGGAUUUACCAAUAGACUACUGGAUUUUGCAGGUUUCUUCUGGUAUAAUAAGAAUUCUCAUGGUUUUUGCACAUUUAAGAAAAUUCCUUAAAUAUGACCGUUCUUGAACAGCAGACCUGGUUUUGGGUUCAUGACUACUGAUGUUCAACUACAUAGCCUUGCAAUUUUGAACCCAAUCCCGAAGACAAGGGAGCUCCUGGAUCAAGUAUGGGAAAAAUUUGCCUUCCUGGAAUAUUUUUUGAUGGAAAUCAUCCGCAUUUGCGUUACUGGAGAGGAAGAUCACGAGAACCUUCCACGGUUAACUUGACGGCAAGGGGACUCUAACCCAUGAUCUGCUGAAAAUAACUGAUUAAAAAAAAUUGGAGCAUUUAAAAAAAACUAUAAUGUUUUUUUAUUUAUUGUUCUAAUUUGAUUUAUUGUAGGCCGAAAUUAUUCAAUGUUAAUAAACUUCCAAUAAAAGAUUCUUUAUUAAACGCAAAAAAA